AUUGAACGCUGGCGGCAUGCCUUACACAUGCAAGUCGAACGGUAACGCGGGGCAACCUGGCGACGAGUGGCGAACGGGUGAGUAAUGCAUCGGAACGUGCCCAGUCGUGGGGGAUAGCCCGGCGAAAGCCGGAUUAAUACCGCAUACGACCUACGGGUGAAAGGGGGGGACCGCAAGACCUCUCGCUAUUGGAGCGGCCGAUGUCAGAUUAGAUAGUUGGUGGGGUAAAGGACUACCAAGCCGACGAUCUGUAGCUGGUCUGAGAGGACGACCAGCCACACUGGGACUGAGACACGGCCCAGACUCCUACGGGAGGCAGCAGUGGGGAAUUUUGGACAAUGGGCGCAAGCCUGAUCCAGCCAUGCCGCGUGCGGGAAGAAGGCCUUCGGGUUGUAACCGCUUUUGUCAGGGAAGAAAUCUUCUGAGUUAAUACCUCGGGAGGAUGACGGUACCUGAAGAAUAAGCACUGGCUAACUACGUGCCAGCCGCCGCGGUAACAC
rnacentral:rRNA from 1 species